AUUGAACGCUGGCGGCAGGCUUAACACAUGCAAGUCGAGCGGUAGAGGGGAGCUUGCUUCCCUUGAGAGCGGCGGACGGGUGAGUCAUGCCUAGGAAUCUGCCUGGUAGUGGGGGACAACGUUCGGAAACGGACGCUAAUACCGCAUACGUCCUACGGGAGAAAGUGGGGGAUCUUCGGACCUCACGCUAUCAGAUGAGCCUAGGUCGGAUUAGCUAGUUGGUAGGGUAAAGGCCUACCAAGGCGACGAUCCGGAACUGGUCUGAGAGGAUGAUCAGUCACACUGGAACUGAGACACGGUCCAGACUCCUACUGGAGGCAGCAGUGGGGAAUAUUGGACAAUGGGCGCAAGCCUGAUCCAGCCAUGCCGCGUGUGUGAAGAAGGUCUUCGGAUUGUAAAGCACUUUAAGUUGAGAGGAAGUUCAGUAAGUUAAUACCUUGUUGAAUUGACGUUACCGACAGAAUAAGCACCGGCUAACUCUGUGCCAGCAGCCGCAGUAA
rnacentral:rRNA from 1 species